rnacentral:lncRNA from 1 species
UAGAUAUGAAAACUACAAAAACUUCAAAAUCCUUGUAGGACCCUAGCAUAAUUGGAACUCUUGAGGUAAAAGCAACAAAUAUGCAUGACCUUUUCCUUGAAAGAAAAAUAAGAGUUCACCCUUCUCAAUCAACUAGUAAGGUCGUACCCAGUGCACAAGGCUCCUGCUUUACACAGGGUUUGGGAGAGGUGAAUGUCGGCUAGCCUUACCCCCAUUUAUGGAGAGGCUGCUCCCAAGUCUCGAACCCGAGACCUACCGCUCAUGAGCGAAGGCACUUGUCAUCGCACCAAGUGCGACCUCUACCCUUCUCAAUCAACUAGUAAGAUCGCAAAAUAAUUUCUUUUAUACACCAGGCCAUUUUGAUUCCCAGUGGCAUAAGUAUCGAAUUAGUUUGCUUACUCAACUUAUUAGGAACAAGACCUAUAAAAGUCCUAACUCCUAAAGACAUGGAUGUAGUUGUUUCAUGGGUAGUUGAGUAAGUGGUGAGACGCAUAAAAGUAUGAAAGCUAUCACAUCAAAGCUUACAUGAAGUUAUCUCUCUUAUAAAAAAAGGGCCUAUAUUCAUCUAGCACACUCCCCUCCCUUC